AUUGAACGCUGGCGGCAUGCUUUACACAUGCAAGUCGAACGGUAACAGGCCGCAAGGUGCUGACGAGUGGCGAACGGGUGAGUAAUACAUCGGAACGUGCCCGAUCGUGGGGGAUAACGAAGCGAAAGCUUUGCUAAUACCGCAUAAGAUCUACGGAUGAAAGCAGGGGACCGCAAGGCCUUGCGCGAACGGAGCGGCCGAUGGCAGAUUAGGUAGUUGGUGGGAUAAAAGCUUACCAAGCCGACGAUCUGUAGCUGGUCUGAGAGGACGACCAGCAACACUGGGACUGAGACACGGCCCAGACUCCUACGGGAGGCAGCAGUGGGGAAUUUUGGACAAUGGGCGAAAGCCUGAUCCAGCCAUGCCGCGUGCAGGAUGAAGGCCUUCGGGUUGUAAACUGCUUUUGUACGGAACGAAAAGACUCUUCCUAAUAAAGAGGGUCCAUGACGGUACCGUAAGAAUAAGCACCGGCUAACUACGUGCCAGCCGCCGCCGUAAUAC
rnacentral:rRNA from 1 species